UAACCAUGAUGUGGACAUUUCCUCAACAACUCUUUGUACCUCUCCCAAGCUUCAUAUAGUAAUUCAUCGUUACCUUGCACGAAAGAGGUAAUGUUGUUUCUUAUUUU